GCACGUUGUAUGGAUGAUUUCCUUUGUUCGAUAGGAAUGGAAUCAAGGAGGCUGAGAGAGAGAUCGGAUUGUGUUUGCAAUUUCGAGAUUUUGUCAAGCGGAUUUGACGGGAAAUAGGUGUCCCGAAGAGCAUAGAGAUCAUCCGCUGCUCUUGCGACUGUUGCCCAUAAAUCUUCUCCGUCUUGGCUACCGCCACCAGUGCUCAUUUCCCUCGCUCUCUCCACUACCGUGUAGGAAUGAUCGCUAGACGAGGAGACUCGUAG
rnacentral:misc_RNA from 1 species